rnacentral:tRNA from 11 species
GGAGAGAUGGCCGAGUGGUUUAAGGCAGCGGUCUUGAAAACCGCCGAAGGGUUAAACCUUCCGUGGGUUCGAAUCCCACUCUCUCCGCCA